UACAGAGGGGGCUAGCGUUGUUCGGAAUUACUGGGCGUAAAGCGCACGUAGGCGGCUUGGUAUGUCGGGUGUGAAAUCCCCGGGCUCAACCUGGGAACUGCAUCCGAAACUGCCUUGCUCGAGUAUGGGAGAGGGAAGUGGAAUUUCCGGUGUAGCGGUGAAAUGCGUAGAUAUCGGAAGGAACAUCAGUGGCGAAGGCGACUUCCUGGACCAAUACUGACGCUCAGGUGCGAAAGCGUGGGGAGCAAACAGG
rnacentral:rRNA from 1 species